GAUGAACGCUGGCGGCGUGCUUAACACAUGCAAGUCGAACGGAAAGGCCCAAGCUUGCUUGGGUACUCGAGUGGCGAACGGGUGAGUAACACGUGGGUGAUCUGCCCUGCACUUCGGGAUAAGCCUGGGAAACUGGGUCUAAUACCGGAUAGGACCACAUUUUGGAUGGUGUGGUGGAAAGUUUUUCGGUGUGGGAUGAGCUCGCGGCCUAUCAGCUUGUUGGUGGGGUAAUGGCCUACCAAGGCGUCGACGGGUAGCCGGCCUGAGAGGGUGUACGGCCACAUUGGGACUGAGAUACGGCCCAGACUCCUACGGGAGGCAGCAGUGGGGAAUAUUGCACAAUGGGCGCAAGCCUGAUGCAGCGACGCCGCGUGGGGGAUGACGGCCUUCGGGUUGUAAACUCCUUUCGCUAGGGACGAAGCGUUAUGUGACGGUACCUGGAGAAGAAGCACCGGCGAACUACGU
rnacentral:rRNA from 1 species